rnacentral:rRNA from 1 species
UACGAAGGGUGCAAACGUUGCUCGGAAUCAUUGGGCGUAAAGCGCACGUAGGCGGCUUGCCAAGUCGGACGUGAAAUCCCUCAGCUCAACUGAGGACGUGCAUCCGAAACUGGCGAGCUUGAGUGCUGAAGAGGAUCGCGGAAUUCCCGGUGUAGAGGUGAAAUUCGUAGAUAUCGGGAGGAACACCAGUGGCGAAGGCGGCGAUCUGGGCAGGCACUGACGCUGAGGUGCGAAAGCGUGGGGAG